rnacentral:rRNA from 1 species
GACGAACGCUGGCGGCGUGCUUAACACAUGCAAGUCGAGCGGUAAGGCCCUUUCGGGGGUACGACGAGCGGCGAACGGGUGAGUAACACGUGGGUGACCUGCCCUCAGCUCUGGGAUAAGCCCGGGAAACUGGGUCUAAUACCGGAUAUGGCUUCAUGACGCAUGUUGUGGAGUGGAAAGCCUUGUGCGGCUGAGGAUGGGCCCGCGGCCUAUCAGCUUGUUGGUGGGGUGAGGCCUACCAAGGCGACGACGGGUAGCCGGCCUGAGAGGGCGACCGGCCACACUGGGACUGAGAUACGGCCCAGACUCCUACGGGAGGCAGCAGUGGGGAAUCUUGCGCAAUGGGCGAAAGCCUGACGCAGCGACGCCGCGUGAGGGAUGACGGCCU